UGGCGAACGGGUGAGUAACACGUGGGUGAUCUGCCCUGCACUUUGGGAUAAGCCUGGGAAACUGGGUCUAAUACCGAAUACACCCUUCUGGCUGCAUGGUCUGGUUGGGGAAAGCUUUUGCGGUGUGGGAUGGGCCCGCGGCCUAUCAGCUUGUUGGUGAGGUUACGGCUCACCAAGGCGACGACGGGUAGCCGGCCUGAGAGGGUGACCGGCCACACUGGGACUGAGAUACGGCCCAGACUCCUACGGGAGGCAGCAGUGGGGAAUAUUGCACAAUGGGCGCAAGCCUGAUGCAGCGACGCCGCGUGAGGGAUGACGGCCUUCGGGUUGUAAACCUCUUUCGCCAGGGACGAAGCGCAAGUGACGGUACCUGGAGAAGAAGGACCGGCCAACUACGUGCCAGCAGCCGCGGUAAUACGUAGGGUCCGAGCGUUGUCCGGAAUUACUGGGCGUAAAGAGCUCGUAGGUGGUUUGUCGCGUUGUUCGUGAAAACUCACAGCUCAACUGUGGGCGUGCGGGCGAUACGGGCAGACUGGAGUACUGCAGGGGGAGACUGGAAUUCCUGGUGUAGCGGUGGAAUGCGCAGAUAUCAGGAGGAACACCCGGUGGCGAAGGCGGGUCUCUGGGCAGUAACUGACGCUGAGGAGCGAAAGCGUGGGGAGCGAACAGGAUUAGAUACCCUGGUAGUCCACGCCCGUAAACGGUGGGUACUAGGUGUGGGUUUCCUUCCUUGGGAUCCGUGCCGUAGCUAACGCAUUAAGUACCCCGCCUGGGGAGUACGGCCGCAAGGCUAAAACUCAAAGAAAUUGACGGGGGCCCGCACAAGCGGCGGAGCAUGUGGAUUAAUUCGAUGCAACGCGAAGAACCUUACCUGGGUUUGACAUGCACAGGACGUGCCUAGAGAUAGGUAUUCCCUUGUGGCCUGUGUGCAGGUGGUGCAUGGCUGUCGUCAGCUCGUGUCGUGAGAUGUUGGGUUAAGUCCCGCAACGAGCGCAACCCUUAUCUUAUGUUGCCAGCGCGUAAUGGCGGGGACUCGUGAGAGACUGCCGGGGUCAACUCGGAGGAAGGUGGGGAUGACGUCAAGUCAUCAUGCCCCUUAUGUCCAGGGCUUCACACAUGCUACAAUGGCCGGUACAAAGGGCUGCGAUGCCGUGAGGUGGAGCGAAUCCUUUCAAAGCCGGUCUCAGUUCGGAUCGGGGUCUGCAACUCGACCCCGUGAAGUCGGAGUCGCUAGUAAUCGCAGAUCAGCAACGCUGCGGUGAAUACGUUCCCGGGCCUUGUACACACCGCCCGUCACGUCAUGAAAGUCGGUAACACCCGAAGCCGGUGGCCUAA
rnacentral:rRNA from 1 species